rnacentral:rRNA from 1 species
UACCUUUUGUAUAAUGGGUCAGCGACUUAUAUUCUGUAGCAAGGUUAACCGUAUAGGGGAGCCGUAGGGAAACCGAGUCUUAACCGGGCGUUAAGUUGCAGGGUAUAGACCCGAAACCCGGUGAUCUAGCCAUGGGCAGGUUGAAGGUUGGGUAACACUAACUGGAGGACCGAACCGACUAAUGUUGAAAAAUUAGCGGAUGACCUGUGGCUGGGGGUGAAAGGCCAAUCAAACCGGGAGAUAGCUGGUUCUCCCCGAAAGCUAUUUAGGUAGCGCCUCGUGAAUUCAUCUCCGGGGGUAGAGCACUGUUUCGGCUAGGGGGCCAUCCCGGCUUACCAACCCGAUGCAAACUGCGAAUACCGGAGAAUGUUAUCACGGGAGACACACGGCGGGUGCUAACGUCCGUCGUGAAGAGGGAAACAACCCAGACCGCCAGCUAAGGUCCCAAAGUCAUGGUUAAGUGGGAAACGAUGUGGGAAGGCCCAGACAGCCAGGAUGUUGGCUUAGAAGCAGCCAUCAUUUAAAGAAAGCGUAAUAGCUCACUGGUCGAGUCGGCCUGCGCGGAAGAUGUAACGGGGCUAAACCAUGCACCGAAGCUGCGGCAGCGAACGUAUCACCCAAGACAACUUUACGGAGUUGACGAUUGACGGAGCGAAGCGACGUCAAAGCGUUCAUUAAAGUCGAGUUGGCUUAGGGAUACGUUCGUUGGGUAGGGGAGCGUUCUGUAAGCCUGUGAAGGUGUGUCGUGAGGCAUGCUGGAGGUAUCAGAAGUGCGAAUGCUGACAUAAGUAACGAUAAAGCGGGUGAAAAGCCCGCUCGCCGGAAGACCAAGGGUUCCUGUCCAACGUUAAUCGGGGCAGGGUGAGUCGACCCCUAAGGCGAGGCCGAAAGGCGUAGUCGAUGGGAAACGGGUUAAUAUUCCCGUACUUGGUGUUACUGCGAAGGGGGGACGGAGAAGGCUAUGUUGGCCGGGCGACGGUUGUCCCGGUUUAAGCGUGUAGGUGUGUGUUCCAGGUAAAUCCGGUUCACUUUAACACUGAGGCGUGACGACGAGGCACUACGGUGCUGAAGCAACAAAUGCCCUGCUUCCAGGAAAAGCCUCUAAGCAUCAGGUAACACGAAAUCGUACCCCAAACCGACACAGGUGGUCAGGUAGAGAAUACCAAGGCGCUUGAGAGAACUCGGGUGAAGGAACUAGGCAAAAUGGUGCCGUAACUUCGGGAGAAGGCACGCUGACACGUAGGUGAAGUGAUUUACUCAUGGAGCUGAAGUCAGUCGAAGAUACCAGCUGGCUGCAACUGUUUAUUAAAAACACAGCACUGUGCAAACACGAAAGUGGACGUAUACGGUGUGACGCCUGCCCGGUGCCGGAA